UGGGGAAUAUUGGACAAUGGGCGAAAGCCUGAUCCAGCAAUGCCGCGUGAGUGACGAAGGCCUUAGGGUUGUAAAACUCUUUUAGCAGGGAAGAUAAUGACGGUACCUGCAGAAAAAGCUCCGGCUAACUCUGUGCCAGCAGCCGCGGUAAUACAGAGGGAGCUAGCGUUGUUCGGAAUUACUGGGCGUAAAGCGCGCGUAGGCCGCUUGCCAAGUCAGAUGUGAAAUCCCGGAGCUUAACUUCGGAAUUGCAUUUGAAACUGGCGAGCUAGAGAAUGGUAGGGGAUAGGGGAAUUUCUAGUGUAGAGGUGAAAUUCGUAGAUAUUAGAAGGAACACCAGUGGCGAAGGCGCCUAUCUGGGCCAUUUCUGACGCUGAGGCGCGAAAGCGUGGGGAGCAAACAG
rnacentral:rRNA from 1 species